rnacentral:rRNA from 1 species
UACGAAGGGGGCUAGCGUUGCUCGGAAUCACUGGGCGUAAAGCGCACGUAGGCGGAUCGUUAAGUCGGGGGUGAAAUCCUGGAGCUCAACUCCAGAACUGCCUUCGAUACUGGCGAUCUUGGAGUCCGGGAGAGGUGAGUGGAACUCCGAGUGUAGAGGUGAAAUUCGUAGAUAUUCGCAAGAACACCAGUGGCGAAGGCGGCUCACUGGCCCGAUACUGACGCUGAGGCACGAAAGCGUGGGGAGCAAACAGG